rnacentral:misc_RNA from 1 species
AAGUCGUAACAAGGUCUCCGUAGGUGAACCUGCGGAGGGAUCAUUAACACUGAAAAAUUAUAACUAAACCUUAUAAUUUUUCUAUUUCCACACCAAUUUAACGUGAAUUAUUUCAAUCGUUAAAAGAGAACUAAAACAAACAGUUUUUGUUUUUGUUUUCUUUAUUUUAUUUUUUUACCCUUUUCAUACAAUCAAAUUAUUGAAUGUAUAGAACUACAGUGUAAUAACUGUUUGUUCAUAUCUAAAUGCAAAAGAAAGCACAAUUCUUAGCAACGGAUAUCUUGGUUCUC